rnacentral:rRNA from 1 species
CCGCGGUAAUACGUAGAGGGCGAGCGUUGUCCGGAAUUACUGGGCGUAAAGGGUGCGUAGGCGGGUAGGCAAGUCAAAUGUGAAAUCCGUCGGCUCAACCGGCGAAUAGCAUUUGAAACUGCCUAUCUUGAGUGCAGGAGAGGGAAGCGGAAUUCCUGGUGUAGCGGUGAAAUGCGUAGAUAUCAGGAAGAACACCAGUGGCGAAGGCGGCUUCCUGGCCUGCAACUGACGCUGACGCACGAAAGCUGGGGGAGCGAACGGGAUUAGAUACCCCGGUAGUCCCAGCCGUAAACGAUGGACACUAGGUGUUGGAGGUUCGAUUCCUUCAGUGCCGGAGUU